rnacentral:misc_RNA from 1 species
GAUGAAGAACGCAGCGAAAUGCGAUACGUAAUGUGAAUUGCAGAAUUCAGUGAAUCAUCGAAUCUUUGAACGCACAUUGCGCCCGCCAGUAUUCUGGCGGGCAUGCCUGUUCGAGCGUCAUUUCAACCAUCAAGCCCCAGGCUUGUGUUGGGGUCCUGCGGCUGCCGCAGGCCCUGAAAAACAGUGGCGGGCUCGCUGUCACACCGAGCGUAGUAAUACAUCUCGCUUUGGACGUGCGGCGGGUUCUUGCCGUUAAACACCCCCCUUCUCAAGGUUGACCUCGGAUCAGGUAGGAAUACCCGCUGAACUUAAGCAUAUCAAUAAGCGGAGGA